rnacentral:tRNA from 1 species
GCUUCCAUAGCUCAGUUGGUAGAGCAACAGAUUCGUAACCUGUAGGUCGGGAGUUCGAUUCUCCCUGGAAGCUCCA